UACGAAGGGGGCUAGCGUUGCUCGGAAUCACUGGGCGUAAAGGGUGCGUAGGCGGGUCUUUAAGUCAGGGGGGAAAUCCUGGAGCUCAACUCCAGAACUGCCUUUGAUACUGAAGAUCUUGAGUUCGGGAGAGGUGAGUGGAACUGCGAGUGUAGAGGUGAAAUUCGUAGAUAUUCGCAAGAACACCAGUGGCGAAAGCGGCUCACUGGACCAUAACUGACGCUGAUGCACGAAAGCUAGGGGAGCAAACAGG
rnacentral:rRNA from 1 species